rnacentral:rRNA from 1 species
GACAGAGGAUGCAAGCGUUAUCCGGAAUGAUUGGGCGUAAAGCGUCUGUAGGUGGCUUUUUAAGUCCGCCGUCAAAUCCCAGGGCUCAACCCUGGACAGGCGGUGGAAACUACCAAGCUGGAGUACGGUAGGGGCAGAGGGAAUUUCCGGUGGAGCGGUGAAAUGCGUAGAGAUCCGGAAGAACACCGGUGGCGAAGGCGGCCUGCUGGGCAGUAGCUGACGCUGAUGCGCGACAGCGUGGGGACGCAAACAGG